rnacentral:lncRNA from 1 species
GUGUUUCCAAGUGAAUUAUAUAAAAAUAUUAAUUUAGAAAAAGACUUCUUUGCAGUCCAAGCACUUUGCUCCAAUGAUCUAAACAGUUUAUAUUGUAGACCUCAUUAAAAAUUUUAAUACUGUAAAAAAUCACCUUAAUCAGAUACAAUCAACAGUUGAUCAAUAUCAAUUUACAUCAAUUAAGUGAUUAGAAGAUUAAGAGUAAAUUACACUUUGCAUUCCUGUAUUUUAUAUUGAAUCUCACCUUACAAUCUUUAUUUUCAAAAGAGACUACCAAGUCCUUAAAUUUGGAUUCAAGUGCGGUUAUAGCCAUUUCAUCCGUUACCUUUUAAUAAUCAACAGAAAUAAGCCGUUUGAGACUCUCAUGACCAAUUAUUGAGGGAAAAAUAAGAAAAUCCACUUAGACGAUGCUUACUUUUUUUUUUGGCCUAUUUAGCUUAAGUUUUUCAAUCGCAAUUGAUAUUUUAUCUUUGGUUUUAAUUUUGCUUAUUAGUCUGGUAUAAAAUUAUGGUGACAAAUUGUCCAAAGUAUUUCCAUAACUUUGGAAAAGGGUGAUGUAGUAGGGAGAAGAGAGAUGAUAGUGAGGAGAUACAAAUAGGAAGCUGGUGGCAAGUAGAGGAUAGAAGGUUGAUAGUAGCAUCGGCAGAUAAAAAGUCAGAUUCGAUAUUGGAUUCAGAAAGUGCUUACCACUUGUGCAGAGACAGAGAGAUAUUCUCUACAUAUGCAUUAUGCGAUGGACUUGUACGGAUGAUGAACAACACGGCGAACAGAGUUAUUGGCAAAGGAACAGUCUGAUUUCGCAUGGCAGUCGGGAGGUCUCUGACAUUGACCGAGGUAAGGUAUGUUCCUAGUCUACGAAAAAAUUUAAUUUUCAUUGGGAUGCUAGAUUCGAAGGGUUGCAGUUUUACAGCUAGUGGGGGAAUUCUAAAAGUUUUCAAGGGAAAUAAGGAGAUAUUGUGGGGAAGGAAGACUAGAGGACUAUACGAACUGGAAGGGAGUAUCCAGAUAAGGGGAGCUCUUGUUAGAUAUGGGUUUAAUGGUACUAGCAAACAAGAUGAACAAGGAAAGCAACAAUUGCACAAAGGCACGCAAAGUAAGCAUAGGGGUACCUAGAGGAUUCGAAGUGGUACAUGAGCACAGGGAGAGGCUUUAAGAUAUGUGCGGAAGUUUGGCCAGACACAAGUGGUGCAACCAGUGCAGGAUGUCUAGAAAAGUUAAGAGAAAUGUAAUAAAGUCGAUUUUGAAGAGUUGUACAGCGACAGAUACGACGACAUCGAAACGGAUCUCUUUCACUCUCGAUUUGAUUAAUGGCGGUGAUCUCUCCAGUUUUGUACACAAGGAGUGAUAGAUGUAACCAUGACAACUCACAAAGUGAUGUACUUUGCGGCGCACCCCGGUGGAGAUGUGGGGCACCUCAAUGAGAAUGUGCGGGUACUUUGGUAUGGAGGUAUAUAUACUUCAGUGAGAAGUGGAGUAGCCCGUUGAUUAAGGCAAGGUAUCUCGGAUGUUGUCUUGUAGAUCUUGUGGGGGAGUUGGACCAAAAAUUAUUAGGAUGGACAACUUGAAGACAUCAGAUUAUCUUCCAAUGGAUUGAAGAGGGAGAUUAUUGAGUACAACCCACAUUGAUGAGUACAACCCACUAUUGGGACCAAGCCUAAAUAGUAUAUUUGGGUCCAAGGCCAAGCUUGUUUAGCAAUAGUUUUUCUCUAUAAAUAUGAAGAGAUAGAGAAAAUUAGGGUGUAGGAUUGUGUUGGGUUAACUGAGAAUAGAGAGAGAAAAUGAGGAGAGACAAGAGAGGCUGACAGAGAUUGUGAGAGAAAUGUUGAGAGUGUGUUGAGAAAGUGAGUUUCCUCCUUUUGUAAUCCCUUCGUUCGAUUAGUGGAUUAUUUAUUUCUCUCCGUAGAUGUCGACAUUAUUGACUAAACAACGUAAAUAUUUAUAGUCAUGUGUGUGUGAUCGGUUGUUUUAAGCACGACCCUCCAAAUACACUUGUUAAGUUCUUUGUCAUGGAUUCCUUUUAUGUUUUUGCGUGUUGGUAGGUCGUUUGAGCCUAUUAUACGAUCUUUUGGAUGAAUUUCUUUGUCAUAUGGAUUCCUUUUUAUAUUUUGAUAAAAUAUAAUAUAGAUAACUUUUAAUAAAGAUAACUUUCAAAUGGUAUUUUAGAGAUUUUGAGAUGCAAAAGCUCUUAGGAGAUUAAUUAUCAUGACAGAGGUAUGCAAUAUUACAACAAUGGGAUGGUACAUGAUAUUGCUUAGUAGAUUUAGUGUCACAAUAAAUCUACUGACAAUAGACCUUUAAGUGUUGCAAUGUACGAAUCAAAUCAAGUGAAAUCUAUUUAUCACUCCUACUUACUCUCAACUGAUCACAAUCACAGCAAAUUUAAAUUUACAGCUUGGACACAACUUUAAUGGACUUGUAAUCAAAUAGACCAUCCACAUGCUCUCCAGUCAUUUUCUUCAACUCCUCUUGAAACCUUUCCAAAGCGGCUUCUGGCAAGCAAAUCAGUACCACAGUCCCAUUUUCCCCUUUAUUGUCUUUAAACCUUCCAUAGAAGCUAAUCAAAGGGAACGCCUUAGCAGGUCCGCCAUAGACCGGUUUCCCCCACCCAAAAUCUAUUGUGUCAAGGCCAACGCGGGUCAUAUCAGACACAAUAUAGUUCCCCGCCACCGUAUAGAGAGGUCGUCCCUUAGUCACCAUAAGAUCUGCCACUGACCUCAAAUACUCUCCGGUCAUUAUGGCCUUUGCCUUCUUCACCCCCUCCAUCACGUAUUCCAACGGAGAAGUAGAAAUCAUUCCAGCUCUCAAAACUGUAGCUGGAAAGGCAGAAACAUUUCCAUAGUAUCCUCGAGGUACAUGCAGGCCGUGCUUUCCACGUCCGUUGGCUGCGCACGAGAUGCGAACCGUCUUUUGGGGGUCUAGCCCAAGUGCACAAUUUGCGGUCAUCUUCCAUAACAAACACGCGGUCAAGAGACGUCGAAUGUGGAGCUUGUUUAGCGGUGGUGUGGGGGAAGAUGGCUUUUCGAAUGGCUCCUUAUCUCCUUGGGGCCCGAAAAAAAAUACUGUGGGUUCAUGCUUUUCUUUCUUGUUGUCAUCCGGGAUGGUGUCAAUCACUUGCUCGUAUUUGUGAUGCUGGAAUGGGAUGAAGGGAGGUUGUCUCGCAGCUAGAAACUCCCUCUGCCACACUGGUGGCACUGAUGGUGCAUCCUCUGCCCCUCGGGUAAACUCAGCAAUUGUAGUUAAAAAUUGGACCAAACCAAGUGUAUCACUCAUUGUGUGGUUUAGGCGUAUGGCAAACGCCCAUCCACCGCAUCUAAAACGGGUCACCUGCAUGAAAAUUAAAAAAAAAAAAAAAAACAUAUAUAGUUGGCAAUCCGUACAUAUAAGACUUAUAAGAAUGCUACAAUCCAAGAAAAUUCACAGAAAAACGUUCAGAAGCUAUUACCAUCCUGACAAUACACAGGUAAUGCUUGGAGUUGUUUAAAAUUGUUCUGGAUCUAUAUCGUUUUCCAAAUAUUUGUGAAGGAUAAUGUUUAACAUAUCACAUUUUAUGUGAGAUUUUCUUACCACCACAAAGAGGCGGGUCCCAUAUGUAUAAUACCUAAUCUUCAUAUCAAUUAUACAAAACAUUGUUGGAAAUUUCGGUGUAAAUGAAGUGGAACGUUAAGAGGGUCUCCCGAGACGAUCGAACAAUUACCUCUGGGUUCAUUGAAGCUAGACGUAACAGUCCAAAAGACAACCAUUAUAACCCUCAUAAUUUGGAAUUAUGGUACUUCAAUGGCUUAAUAAUUUCCGGAAGUUUUGUAACUCCUCAUAAUCAUUAUUUUCUAUAAGUUAUGAUCUUCUAGUGUUGGAGAAAAACACAUUUCACCCUCGUUUCAUACACUUAUGCAAUUUCAUUCGAAGAGAGUGACAGACGUGAAUUACUUCGGUGGUAUCCCAAUGUACGUGGUCUAGUCAUUUUACCCUGGAAGAAAAACGUUGAUAAAGACUACAACACCCUCGGUAGGCGAUGAUUUUUUAAGAAGACUGCGUUUGCAGGACUCAGCAAUUUGUAUCUCAUUCUGAAUUUUUUUGUUUUAUAAUUGUAAAUUUAAUUUAGUAUAUUUAUUGAGAUUAAUAGAAAUUAUUUUUUGAAUUCAGUAUGGCCCGUAUUUUUUUCCAACAAACAUUACUGAAUCACAAGAGAGGGCAGCCAAUGAUUCCUUCAGAGCCAAGGAACGCAUGCCAAGCUCGUCCAAGUAUGUCCCCCCCCGGAUCAUGGUGUCCACCAAUAAGCUGGUUAAGCUCAAUUCUGCAUCUGCCUCAAGGAACAAACCCCUUCGCCUCGUGCAUCCAACCACAAGUUUUCGCCUAGGACCUUCAAUAAGCUCCCGCGAAUGGGUAGUAAAACACAAGUGCUUUAGCUGUGCUCUCUAUGACUUUGACGGGGUUCUUCUCCUCCAUGGAAAGCUUUCUUUUGUAUACAGAUCCCGAAACCUGAAACCGGAAACCUUCUUCAUCUAGUCUGAUAGUUUGCUUCAGUUCUCUCGUUGUUGGGAUAAAACACUCAAUGCGUCUUUUUCACUCCUAAUGAUCGGGAAUAAUAACACGUCACACAAACAAGCAAGUAAGAAACAAAACAAUAAAAAAGGGAUACUAGAAUUUUUACGUGAUUCGGCCAAUUAAGCUACAUUCACGGCCACACCGAUUAGCAAUUCACCAAACAAAGUUUAGGAUUACAAUCUCCUCCCUCACUCUUUCUCCUCUCUCUCUUAGCCUUAGCUACCUUCUUAUCAUUCUCCUAGACUUCACAUCUAUUUUAUAGAUAAACCUAGGAAGAGGAUGAAAUUAAGCAAUAAGUCAUUCAGAGCCGCAAUCGAGACUUGAUUGCCGAAAUCGGAGACUUGGAUCCAGCCCGUAAUUGUAGCAUUGAAAUUCAGGGCUCCAACAUUCCACAUACUCUAACAAUCUCCCACUUGGAGGCUGACGCAACACUGCUCCCUCCGUAACUUCCACUUGUUUCAAUAUUUUACGCAAACGUGUGGCAUUACGACGGUACGUUACGGCCUCAUAAUGAGAACCCACUGUAAGUCUGCACAUAGCUUCAUUUUCUCAAGUGUCACACUUUUGUGACACAUGUCUGCAGGAUUCUGAUUUUGGUGUGGAUCUUUCUCUAAACUUAUCAAACCCUUAUCUAGAGUGAUCGGAAUGAAGUGAUGUCUCAUGUCGAUGUGUUUCGUUCUCUGGCAUGGAAGCUGACUUCUUUGCCAAAUUAAUUAGUAAACUUUGACUAGCAUCAUCGCUGUAUAUAGUGUCAAUUCGAUUGCUCCUUGCCCACUCUCUCAUAAAAACUCUGUUCAAUACCAAACCUCUCCUUUCAAGCUUCGGUAGCAGCCAUACUUCUCCGCUUCUCUGUGGUAGAAAGACAAAAUCUUUUACAAUCUAGAAACUAGAACCAACUGACCUCUGCGCUGCCAAAUGUGAAAACACAUAUCGAUAGUGCUCUUUCUUCUCUGCCAUCGACAUCUCCAGCCAUGUCUAAUCGACAUACCCUUGUAUACGAAUCGCCGAGCUCCAUAACACACAACCUGCAAUCCUGAGUACCCUUCAGACUACCUCAACAACCGCCACUCACACACAGCUUCCCAGUACUCCUUUCCAGGAUUACUCAUGAAUUGGCUUAUCAUUCCAACUGCUUGAGUAAUAUCUGGCCUCGUACAGACCAUGGCAUACAUAAGGCUACCACAACAGUUGCUCGUAUGAACCUUUUGACAUGUCUCUUUCUCUUCCGGUGUAGUUGACUUGAUUCUUUGAAGUUAAAUACUUCCCGAGGGAGUGCUGACUGGUUUGGCUUUAUCCAUGUAAAUCUCUUUACACUUUGUGAUGUAAGUCGGCUUUGAUAGUGUCAAUUUCUUGUUGGCUCGGUCCUCUAGUGAUCCUCCGCAUACCAAGUAUCAUCUCGCAUGACCCCAAUCCUUCAUUGAAGAUCUCUUGGAUAGACUCUCUUCAGUUUGGUUAAUCUCCAUCAUGCUUGAUCCUUCAAUAAGCAUGUCAUCCACAUAUAAUAGGAGAAUAAUAUAUGAUAUUUAACUUCUUGAAAUAGCAACAACGGUCAGCAUGGCAUCUUUGGUAACCAUUGUCAGACAUGAACCCAUCACUUGAUGUACCACGUCUUGGGUGCUUGUUUCAAACCAUACAAGCUCUUCUUAAGCUGCACACUCCAUAUUCGUCCUUGCCAUUUUCUUCUUCAUAACCCUUCUGGUGGUCUCAUAUAUAUGUCUUCAUCUUAAUUCCCCAUGAAGAAAUGUCGUUUUUUAUUACAUCUAACUGCUCUAGAUGUAAGUCUUCCACUGCACAAGACUCAAGUUGUCCGCAUGGUUGAUAACUUCACAUAGGAGAGAAAUUUCUGUAAAACCUACACCUGCCUUUUGUUGAAACCCUUUUGCAACCAAUCUAUCCUUGUACCGUCUUCGACCCAUCAUGCCUUUCUUUCCAAUCUAUAACCCCACUUGUUAUGCAGUUCUUCUUACCCUGAGACAACUCCAACCAAAUCCCCAUGUUUGGUUAGUUGUGAGGGAGUCCAGCCUCAUCAAUCCCCGAUGCUUGCUCCCACCUUCACCUUUUGCCUUGUCCUUCACAUCACACGGCUUCCUCAUACAUUCUGGUUCCACCAUUUCUGUAAAGUAGCAGUACUGUAGAGAUUGACAUGUAACGAGCUGAUGUCUGAUUCUAGUUGGUCUGUCAUCUUCUCAACACAGGAUCGGGGGAGGAACUUGAGUUUCUAACUGUAUGUUUGAAUUUCUAGGCAUCCAAUACAUCAUUUUCUUUCAGAAAUCCUCCCUCAAGUUUCUUCAAACUCCUUGCUCUUGCUGCUUCUUCUUCUGUCCCGCUCAUUCAUCAUGUCCUUGUACUGGCAUUCUUCAUUUACACCACACUCUACUCUUAUGACUUUGCGGUUUUCGAUGUCCCAAAACGAUAGCCCAAGUCCAUUUAGCCCAUAACCAUGAAGAUGCCUUCUUGGAUUUUGAAUCAUUUGGACCUUUUUUUCUCUCUUUCUGCCCAAUAUGAACAUAUGAGACACAACCCAAAUAUUCUUAGGUGAGAUAAGUUUUUACUCAUUUCCAUUCCUUCCCUUCCCAAGCUCUUGAGGCAACCCACAGUUCAAAACAACUGAGGGUCCUCGGUUGAUUAAGUAUGCCGCCCGGUGCUCACACGUAAUCUGCCCAAUUUAUUUUGGCAAACCAGCAUGUUAUCCUCAUACAACAAACACCGUGCACACUCUCUGUGAAGAUUUCUGUUCAUGAGCGCUCGGCCACCCUAUUCUGUUGGUGGGAUUCUUAGGAACCGUCUUCCUGUCUCUUGAUUCCAUUCAUAGCGCGUACCUUUCGAACUCAUCACUUGCAUACUCUCCACCAUUGUCUGACCUCAACACUUCACUUAAAACUGUCGGUCGUUGCUCAGUAGUAGCUCUCCCUUUCUUGAACACAUCAAAUAACAUUUGAUUUUUGUUUCAAGAAAUAU